GACGAACGCUGGCGGCGUGCUUAACACAUGCAAGUCGAACGGAAAGGCCCUGCUUUUGUGGGGUGCUCGAGUGGCGAACGGGUGAGUAACACGUGAGUAACCUGCCCUUGACUUUGGGAUAACUUCAGGAAACUGGGGCUAAUACCGGAUAGGAGCUCCUGCUGCAUGGUGGGGGUUGGAAAGUUUCGGCGGUUGGGGAUGGGCUCGCGGCUUAUCAGCUUGUUGGUGGGGUAGUGGCUUACCAAGGCUUUGACGGGUAGCCGGCCUGAGAGGGUGACCGGCCACAUUGGGACUGAGAUACGGCCCAGACUCAUACGGGAGGCAGCAGUGGGGAAUAUUGCACAAUGGGCGGAAGCCUGAUGCAGCAACGCCGCGUGCGGGAUGACGGCCUUCGGGUUGUAAACCGCUUUCGCCUGUGACGAAGCGUGAGUGACGGUAAUGGGUAAAGAAGCACCGGCUAACUACGUG
rnacentral:rRNA from 1 species